UUUCCAGCACGCGCGCCGCCUGCGCCGCGCCGCGUCAGAACUUUUCGGGCUGGUCCGUCGUACUGUCCGGAACACGCAACCUGUCAAGUCAAACAAUCCGGUCGCCCUAAACAGACAUUCGGGCACCCAGAUCAGGUAAAGAAAUUUCUGAACUACCCGAACAGCAAACAGCAGGAUCCAAAAACACAUGAGAUUCGGAUCCACUUUAGGGCGUCUAAAUCAGAGUCCAGAAAGAGUAACUUGAC
rnacentral:lncRNA from 1 species